ACUUAAAUAAUAUAAUUAUUAUAUUUGACUUCCAAUCAAAAUAUCUAGCAAGCUAGCUUAAGUA
rnacentral:tRNA from 1 species